rnacentral:rRNA from 1 species
UACGGAGGGUGCAAGCGUUAUCCGGAUUUACUGGGUUUAAAGGGUGCGUAGGCGGGCAGGUAAGUCAGAGGUGAAAUCUCCGAGCUUAACUCGGAAACUGCCUUUGAUACUAUCUGUCUUGAAUAUUGUGGAGGUAAGCGGAAUAUGUCAUGUAGCGGUGAAAUGCUUAGAUAUGACAUAGAACACCAAUUGCGAAGGCAGCUGGCUACACGAAUAUUGACACUGAUGCACGAAAGCGUGGGGAUCAAACAGG